rnacentral:rRNA from 1 species
AGCGGCAGACGGGUGAGUAAUACUUGGACAAUCUACCCUUAAGUGGGGGACAACCUGCCGAAAGGCGGGCUAAUACCCCAUAAGACCACAGGAGUGCAUACUCAAGGGGUCAAAGCUCCGCAAGGGGCGCUAAAGGAGGAGUCCGAGUCCUAUCAUGGUAGUUGGCGGGGUAAUGGCCCACCAAGCCGUUGACGGGUAGCCGGCCUGAAAGGGCAACCGGCCACACUGGCACUGAGACACGGGCCAGACUCCUACGGGAGGCAGCAGUGGGGAAUUUUGGACAAUGGGGGCAACCCUGAUCCAGCGACGCCGCGUGAAGGAUGAAGGUCUUCGGAUUGUAAACUUCUUUUGAAGGGGAUGAAUGACUUGGUGAAGAGCCAGGAGUGACAGUACCCUUUGAAUAAGCCACGGCUAACUACGUGCCAGCAGCCGCGGUAAUACGUAGGUGGCAAGCGAUACUCGGAAUCACUAGGCGUAAAGCGCAGGUAGGCGGUUUGAUAAGUCUGUUGUGAUAGCUCCCGGCUUAACUGGGAGAGGUCAACGGAAACUGUCAGGCUAGAGUGUGGUAGAGGUAGCUGGAAUUCCCGGUGUAGCGGUGAAAUGCGUAGAUAUCGGGAGGAAUACCUAUGGCGAAAGCAGGCUACUGGACCAUCACUGACGCUGAUCUGCGAAAGCUAGGGGAGCAAACAGGAUUAGAUACCCUGGUAGUCCUAGCCCU